rnacentral:lncRNA from 1 species
AUACUCUUUAGUUGUAGUUUUCUUCCUCUCUUAGAGAGAGAAUCUGAAAUUAGGGUUUACACUAAGUGAUGGAUUUCACUUGUGUUGACAAAUUGGCAACAAAGGUUGGUGCUUGGGGAAGGUGACUCCCUUUGUGUCUACCUAAGAGGGUGGUUUGAACUUUCAUUUGUGAGGUGGGAUUGGAGAUUUGAUACAUCUCCUUUUGUUAAUCAUCUAGUGGAAGUAAGGGUCACUCUACUAUCUUUACAUUUAUGAAAUCUUUCUUCUUUAUCUCCUUUCUAAAAGUUGUUUUCUCUUUGCUUGCUUGCUGAUUUUUGCAUAUCUAGUGUCAAUUUCGUGUUUUAGCCUUUCUUUAGGCUAUCAUUUGGUAUCAAAGACUUGUUUAGGGUUAUUCCAACAUUCCUAAAUCUUGGUUUUAGUGUUCUUGUAUAGAAAAUCUCAUCAAAAAAGAGUCAAAAAAUCAGGUAAUACAAAAAAAAAAUGGUGUCUUGUAUUGUCUUGUGUUAGAUCCGAAUUUAGUGUCUUAGAUCUACAAAUUUUUACUUUGUUUUAAAGGUUUCUUGUGUUAGAUUCUUGUUCUCUAACACCUAAGGAGUCUAGAUCUAGUUGUAGAUUGAAGUUUGGUUGAGUUUGAGCUUAGAUCCACCAUGGCUAUGGAGUUUUGAAGCUUUUUGUGCUAUACACGUUUUUGUCUUGGUGAUUUAGCUUGAUUUGUGGCUGAUUUUUGGUUGGUUUAAGUUGUUUUGACAAAAGGAACCUAGGGCUACAAAAAAAAUCAGAUUUGGAGCUCAUUUGCUAGGUGAUCAAACUUGGUCAAUGCUUGAAUAUUCAUCUUGUUCAUCCAUGAUCUUCAUAACUUAGUGAAGAAGAGUAUUCAAGGUUCUUGUUUGAUCCAAGAAAAGGAAAGAGUGGGAAAAAGUUGUUUGUCUAAAAGCAUAUUCAAAGAAUAAUCCAUUCUUCCAAAAAGAGGAGGGACAAGAGGACAAACAAAGUACAAGUGCAUUUAUUGGGAGAGACCAAUUCAUUUCUCAUCCAUUUUGAAGUUUGAGAGGGCUUCAAACUUGAACAUUUUUCCUCCCAAAACUGAAUUCUCUUCUUUCCUAAGGGUGUUUGGCCAAAAGUAAUUUUUGAAAAAGUUGAAAUUCCAAAAGGUAACAACCAACCACGUAGUGCCACAUCAUCACUUGUGCUCAACCAAAGUUCGACCUUAAAAUUAGAUUUUUCUAGUUUCUAGUUUUUUUUUUAAUUCUAGUUUCUUAUAAGUCAAUUCUAUCCCUAAUUAGUAAGUUAGUAAUUACCUACUAGUUUGGUAAUUAGAUUAGAGUCCGUUGUUUCGCGUCUUCGAUUUUUGUGUGCUUUUCUCGUUUUCAAGUCGUAGUAUUUUUGUUGGUUCAAGUUUGUGCAUCAUUUAUUUUGAGUUGUUUCAAACGAAGAUUUAUUUCGAUUUAAAGCUUCUCACCUCUCAAGUAACUUGCCAAGUAUUGCCGGUUCUCCAACACUUGUGAAGCCAAGUGUGAGGUGAGGUUGAGUUUGAGUGAAGUGAGGUUUUUGAACUAACUCGUUUGCUAGUUUUGUAGGUUAUUUUGCUUGUUGUUUUUGCACUUCGUAGGUACAUUUUCCAUGAAAACCGAAGGUACUACUUCCCAACCUUUGGGAAAUGAUGUUAUGGGAGCUUUGAUAGCCCAAAUGGAGGCCAUGAGUUGAGAAAUAAAGAGCGGAAAUGAUGUUAUCAGGAGUGAUAUGGAUUCAAUGAAGGGUGACAUAAUUAGAAUUAGAGCGAGGGUUGAUAGACUAUGUCCACCAAAAUCUUUAAAAUUUCAAGUCAAAUGGCCACCUUAACUUUUGAAGACAUCCUGCGAGGCCAACACAAGAGGAACCCAAUUAUGGUCACAUUGAGGGCACGGGAGCAUGCAUGAGGGACCCAUUUUAAGCCCACAAUAGAACAAUCCCGUGUAUGGAAGGUUGCUUGGAAGUUUGCCUUGAUGAGAUGCCCGAGAGGUCCAAGUGUUGAAGAAUAAUUGUGAAGACCAAAAAGACUCAAGGAAAGUCAUAUGUUGAAGUGUGAAGAAG